UCAUACAAGUGAUGAUUUAACCAUUGAUAAUUGGAUUCCAUAUUUAUGUUACAUGGUUUGUUUUAACACGUUAAAUUCUCUCUCCCUCCUCACACUUCCCUUGCUAUGUUUUUUUCUACUCUUUCUUCGAAAUCUCAAUAUACUUGUCCAGGAUAAGUAAGAUCUUUGAUCUGCAUGGCUAAACGGUUAAAGCAGCCCAAGCUUCUACGUACUUGUCCAGGACAAAUAAAAGAAUUCCUCAGCAGAGUUUAAUCCGUUGUCAAUUUAGGCAUCACCUUUCAAGAGUAGAAGGAAGCGGAAUAAGCGCUCUUAUAUAAGUUCAUUUCUGAUUCCUUCUUCCCAUUCGUUCCGAAACACCAAGGGGCAGAAGCCUUUCUUCUGAUUUCUUUGCAAGCAUUACGAAAGAUUCAUUAGCUAAUUCAAUUCAUCACCCACUUGUAUGCUGCUAGGUCCGAAACCGCUUGAGAGCACCACUACGCCCCUUAAUGAAUCGAAUGGCCCUUAGACCUUGCUAAGUCCGAAACCACAGCAGCACUAUGCCCCCUUAAUGAAUCGAAUUGCCCUUCAACCUCAUAGAUCCUCAUGAGACCCGCAAUGUGCAUAACUUAUCAAGUAACCAAUAAUGUCUUUGCUUUUAUACUGAACGGAAGAAUUAAGAAAUUGCACCUCUGAUAUUGCUUCAACAUGCUCAAUUUACAUAGCCAUUUUCUGGCGCAACAAACACCAAAAAAUUUGGAUAAACGUCGUUUGUUAACUGUUUUUUUCUAUAAUACAUUGCUAAAAUACUAUUCUCAUACACACCUUAAGCCCAUAGGAAAAAUGAAUGGACUGAGUUAUGUAAUAAUGAGAUUUAUACCCGUCGCCGUGUACAGAUUUAUA